rnacentral:rRNA from 1 species
UACAGAGGUCUCAAGCGUUGUUCGGAUUCAUUGGGCGUAAAGGGUGCGUAGGCGGCGCGGUAAGUCGGGUGUGAAAUCUCGGAGCUUAACUCCGAAACUGCAUUCGAUACUGCCGUGCUUGAGGACUGGAGAGGAGACUGGAAUUUACGGUGUAGCGGUGAAAUGCGUAGAUAUCGUAAGGAAGACCAGUGGCGAAGGCGGGGUCUCUGGGCCGAUACUGACGCUGAGGAGCGAAAGCGUGGGGAGCGAACAGG